rnacentral:lncRNA from 1 species
GCCUCUGCCCCGCACUGGGGGUCCGUUCUUUGAAGAGGACACUCCAUCCCCUGCCUCCACUCCCUGACAGAGCCUCCCUCCCAGGCCUGCACGGCUGAGGGAACAACAGCGAGAGGAAGAGGGUUCCUAAAUGCCCCCCAGGGAAGGAGGCAAGGGCAGAAUCAGGAACCAAUAAGAGCAGGCGCCCCGAGACCAGGCGAACGCGUACAACCCACCCAAGCCUACAAACUACGUUUCCCCAGAAAGCAGUGCGCACACGGCAGUCACACCCGCCCCUCCCUGGGCUACCAUGGAAACCUCGAUGGACGCCUCGGAUGCUCUCACGUGACUUCCGCUUCCUCCUCUCAGUUUUCCGCCCGCCUGCGCAUCUGGGCCGUCCUGGCUCUAGCGGCUCCCGGUAGGAGUCGUCUGGAGACCCCGCGACCCUGCGAUCCUGCCCAAUGCCCUUUGCGCCCGUCGCCCCCCUCCCCAAUUAGCGGCGAAGGGUCUGCUCUUAGAACGCUUCGGCGAGGGGCGGAGAGGCUGCUUGUGAUGCCCCCCCUACUGAGUACCUUUGUAGCCAAUCAGCUGAGCCCACUUCUUCUUCAGGAGGAGUGACCUUUGGAAAAGAAGAAAUGGUCCCUGUACUGACAGCAAGGGCCCAACAGGUUAGUUGGUGAAAGAAGACAUGACCUAUGAAGGAAACUAACAAAGAGAGGCAGCAAAAGCCACACCUGGGGAGAGGAAUCCUGGGAAAUGCAAUUGUGAGUGGGGGAGCAUUGAGGGAAAGCCUUGUCUGCUGUGCUUGGGGGCCGAUUGUGAACUCCUGGUGAGGAAACGCCCUCCAUCAACGCAGAUCUGCCUCUGUGGUGCGACUGGUAAGCACAGCCAUCUCUCUGUUUCCCUCCUUUGGACUUGUUAACCAGACUGGAACCAGCUUCCAGCCUGUGAAUGGCCAGAGCCAGACAAAGCAGGCCAGAGGCAGGUGUGUCAGGAGUGAGGAAAACAUCUACUGCCAAGUAGGAGGACUUAACUUGCUGGAGCAGAAGUGGGGCUUAUAUACAUGAAAACCACAAGGAGGCUGGACCACAACACAACCCUUCUUAAGUCUUGAGUAGCAGUUCUCAUGGUUGGCAUUUCUUGGGACAAUGCAGGUAUUCUUGGGUCCCAUGGGAACAAUCUCUGAGUUGCCUAAGGGUUGUUGAGCCUUGUGAUUGUUCAGCGGGGUACAGAACCAAAGUUAGUGGGGUGGGAACAAGAGUGCAGUGUCUGGUCCAGUUACACAAGCACAGGAAUUCAGGAAUUGUUAGCAUGUCAGGAGAUUUUGAUGGAUGGUUUUAGGCCACAGCUCAUCAGCUGCUUCUGGCUCUCAGGGUCCCUGACCCUGGGGAAAAGGGAGAGCUCCAAUAAAUCUGAACAGUUAUUGAUUAAUGUGAAAAUC